rnacentral:rRNA from 1 species
AUUGAACGCUGGCGGCAGGCCUAACACAUGCAAGUCGAACGAGUGGCGGACGGGUGAGUAAUGUCUGGGAAACUGCCUGAUGGAGGGGGAUAACUACUGGAAACGGUAGCUAAUACCGCAUCCCAUCAGAUGUGCCCCGAUGGUCUUAGCUAGUUGGUGGGGUAAAGGCUCACCAAGGCGACGCUCCCUAGCUGGUCUGAGAGGAUGACCAGCCACACUGGAACUGAGACACGGUCCAGAACCCGACGGGAGGAAGCAGGGGGGAAUAUUGGACAAUGGGCGAAAGCAUGAGGCAGCCAGGCAGCGUGUAUGAAGAAGGCCUUCGGGUUGUAAAGUACUUUCAGCGGGGAGGCGUUACCCGCAGAAGAAGCACCGGCUAACUCCGUGCCAGCAGCCGCGGUAAUUC